AUUGAACGCUGGCGGCAGGCCUAACACAUGCAAGUCGAACGAGUGGCGGACGGGUGAGUAAUGUCUGGGAAACUGCCUGAUGGAUGGGGAUAACUACUGGAAACGGUAGCUAAUACCGCAUACCAUCGGAUGUGCCCAGAUGGGGUUAGCUAGUAGGUGGGGUAACGGCUAACCUAGGCGACGAUCCCUAGCUGGUCUGAGAGGAUGACCAGCCACACUGGAACUGAGACACGGUCCAGACUCCUACGGGAGGCAGCAGUGGGGAAUAUUGCACAAUGGGCGCAAGCCUGAUGCAGCCAUGCCGCGUGUAUGAAGAAGGCCUUCGGGUUGUAAAGUACUUUCAGCGGGGAGGCGUUACCCGCAGAAGAAGCACCGGCUAACUCCGUGCCAGCAGCCGCGGUAAUAC
rnacentral:rRNA from 1 species